rnacentral:rRNA from 1 species
UACGAGGGGGGCAAGCGUUGUUUGGAAUUAUUGGGCGUAAAGGGCGCGUAGGCGGCGCCACAAGUCACUUGUGAAAACUCUGGGCUCAACUCAGAGCCUGCAAGCGAAACUGUGGUGCUGGAGUAUGGGAGAGGUGCGUGGAAUUCCCGGUGUAGCGGUGAAAUGCGUAGAUAUCAGGAGGAACACCGGUGGCGAAGGCGGCUCGCUGGGCCAUUUCUGACGCUGAGGCGCGAAAGCGUGGGGAGCAAACAGG